rnacentral:rRNA from 1 species
AACGAACGCUGGCGGCAGGCUUAACACAUGCAAGUCGAACGCACCGCAAGGUGAGUGGCAGACGGGUGAGUAACACGUGGGGAUCUGCCCAAUGGUACGGAAUAGCUCCGGGAAACUGGAAUUAAUACCGUAUGAGCCCGCAAGGGGAAAGAUUUAUCGCCAUUGGAUGAACCCGCGUCGGAUUAGCUAGUUGGUGUGGUAAAGGCGCACCAAGGCGACGAUCCGUAGCUGGUCUGAGAGGAUGAUCAGCCACACUGGGACUGAGACACGGCCAGACUCCUACGGGAGGCAGCAGUGGGGAAUAUUGGACAAUGGGCGCAAGCCUGAUCCAGCCAUGCCGCGUGAGUGAUGAAGGCCUUAGGGUUGUAAAGCUCUUUCGCCGACGAAGAUAAUGACGGUAGUCGGAGAAGAAGCCCCGGCUAACUUCGUGCCAGCCGCCGCGGUGACAC